CGCGGCCUAUCCGCUUGUUGGUGGGGUAACGGCCCACCAAGGCUUCGACGGGUAGCUGGUCUGAGAGGACGAUCAGCCACACUGGGACUGAGACACGGCCCAGACUCCUACGGGAGGCAGCAGUGGGGAAUCUUGCGCAAUGGGCGAAAGCCUGACGCAGCAACGCCGCGUGCGGGAUGACGGCCUUCGGGUUGUAAACCGCUUUCAGCAGGGACGAAUUCUGACGGUACCUGCAGAAGAAGCCCCGGCCAACUACGUGCCAGCAGCCGCGGUAACACGUAGGGGGCGAGCGUUGUCCGGAUUUAUUGGGCGUAAAGAGCUCGUAGGCGGCUCGGUAAGUCAACUGUGAAAGCUCCGGGCUCAACUCGGAGAGGCCAGUUGAUACUGCCGUGGCUAGAGUCCGGUAGGGGAGCGUGGAAUUCCUGGUGUAGCGGUGAAAUGCGCAGAUAUCAGGAGGAACACCAGCGGCGAAGGCGGCGCUCUGGGCCGGAACUGACGCUGAGGAGCGAAAGCGUGGGUAGCAAACAGGAUUAGAUAUCCUGGUAGUCCACGCCGUAAACGUUGGGCACUAGGUGUGGGUCUCAACCAACGAGAUCCGUGCCGUAGCUAACGCACUAAGUGCCCCGCCUGGGGAGUACGG
rnacentral:rRNA from 1 species